CUCUGCACGCUGCAACGUCUUGGCCCCGCAAGCCACAUCACUCCUGGAGGAUCAGUUUAACUUCUUUUCAAGGUUCAGCUCGCUGGGGAGAAACGACGGCGUGGAAGAGGGACCGGACAAAGACUCGUUGUCGAGGGGCCCUCGUCGGGAAGGAAGUGUUACCUGCAGCAGCUGUUGGUGAUUGAAGAGGGGGUUCCCUGGAAAUGGAGUCGGGACAAGCUGGAUCCAGAGCCC